GAGAGGGAGAGAGAGCUUUCUUCAGUCCAUUCAAGGGGUGCCCUGGGAUUUAACUAGCUGCCGACUCAUUCAUCCAAAUGCCGAGCGAAAGGGCUCGGUACAUCGUCGCUCGGUAAAUGAGUGAAUGAAGCGGGAGACUUGUUGAGUCUUAAGCUCCCUUCGCUUGGACUGAAGGGAGCUCCCUCAUGUCAUCUU
rfam:Punica granatum cultivar Dabenzi scaffold397, whole genome shotgun sequence.